rnacentral:rRNA from 1 species
UCCGGUUGAUCCUGCCGGACCCGACUGCUAUCGGAUUGAGAUUUAGCCAUGCGAGUCGAACGUCCCUCUGUUGCGGGGGGCGUGGCGUACGGCUCAGUAACACGUAGUCAACCUGCCCUGGAGACAAGGACAACCCCGGGAAACUGGGAUUAAUCCUUGAUAGGUCAUCUCAUCUGGAAGGAGAGAUGGCUUAAAGGGGUACGCGGGCUUCUUCCGCGAAUCUGCUCCAGGAUGGGACUGCGUCCGAUCAGGCUGUUGGCGGGGUAAUGGCCCACCAAACCUGUAACCGGUACGGGCCUUGAGAGAGGUGGCCCGGAGAUGGACACUGAGAGAAGGGUCCAGGUCCUACGGGGCGCAGCAGGCGCGAAACCUUCGCAAUGUGCGAAAGCACGACUGGGUCAGUCCGAGUGAUUCCUGAUAAAGGAGUCUUUUGCUUGUCCUAAAAGCACAGGUGAAUAAGGGGUGGGCAAGUCUGGUGUCAGCCGCCGCGGUAAUACCAGCACCUCGAGUGGUCAGGACGUUUAUUGGGCCUAAAGCAUCCGUAGCCGGCUUUGCAAGUCUUCGGUUAAAUCCACCUGCUCAACAGAUGGGCUGCUGGAGAUACUACAAAGCUAGGGAGUGGGAGAGGCAGACGGUAUUCAGUGGGUAGGGGUAAAAUCCUCUGAUCCAUUGAGGACCACCAGUGGCGAAGGCGGUCUGCCAGAACACGUUCGACGGUGAGGGAUGAAAGCUGGGGGAGCAAACCGGAUUAGAUACCCGGGUAGUCCCAGCUGUAAACGAUGCAAACUCGGUGAUGCAUUGGCUUAUGGCCAAUGCAGUGCCGCAGGGAAGCCGUUAAGUUUGCCGCCUGGGAAGUACGGACGCAAGUCUGAAACUUAAAGGAAUUGGCGGGGGAGCACCACAAGGGGUGAAGCCUGCGGUUCAAUUGGACUCAACGCCGGG